rnacentral:rRNA from 1 species
GAUGAACGCUGGCGGCGUGCCUAAUACAUGCAAGUCGAGCGAAGCGGGGACGGGUGAGUAACACGUGGAUAACCUCCUAUAAGACUGGGUUAACUUCGGGAAACCGGAGCUAUCCCGGUAACUUAUAAAUGGAUCCGAGCUGCAUUAGCUAGUUGGUAAGGUAACGGCUUACCAAGGCAACGAUGCAUAGCCGACCUGAGAGGGUGAUCGGCCACACUGGAACUGAGACACGGUCCAGACUCCUACGGGAGGCAGCAGUAGGGAAUCUUCCGCAAUGGGCGAAAGCCUGACGGAGCAACGCCGCGUGAGUGAUGAAGGUCUUCGGAUCGUAAAGCUCUGUUAGUAGGGAAGCGUUACCUAAUCAGAAAGCCACGGCUAACUACGUGCCAGCAGCCGCGGUAAUAC